CUGAGUUACAAUGAGACCAGUAUCAACAAUUUCAAAAAGGUAUUGUACAAAAAUAUUACAAACAUAAGACACUUUAAAGACAGAAAACACACAAAGUAUGUCACUACAGAAACUGUAUUCUGUGAUAUAGACGAUAUUGCUUUAAGGAAACUUGCAGCUUUUAAGGGCCUGUUUAUAUCGAAACUGGCUGGCCCACUAAGUGAGACAGUCCGGUAAGUGAGAUCUCGCUGUCUACUUAUUUUAUAGUAAAAAUUAUAAUUAAAAUUGUUUCUAUGUACAAGCGGGAGGCCCUGUUGCAGAGACCAGGAUGGAAAUUUCUCCAUAUAAACAAUCACAAGCAGGCUAGCCCAGUUGCCAGGAUGAAAGUUCAACGAUACUGCUGCAAGCUAUUUUUAACAACUGUCAAAACAAUGUCAAAACAACAAAAUUGUCCCGGGUAAGCAGGAUGAAAUUUUCUCAAAUAAACACAAGAGAAAUCAUCCUGCUUACCUACCUUACCGGGCUGUCUCGCUAAGCGGGCCAGCCCGGCUUCCAUACAAACAGGCCCUAACAAUCUCUGUCAGGCAAUUACAAUGUUCUAAUGUCCAAACUCUAAAGUAUUAUAAACAAGCAGGACAGACCACUUAUUGCAAGUUGCUAGUAUUAAAGUCAUAUCAACAUGUGAUAUCGACAUUUAAUACAGUGUAUAAACUAAAGUAAUUCAGCUUCUACACAUGAAGCGACUUUAAACACUAUCCUUACACUUUAUCAAUUCAUUGAAG